rnacentral:rRNA from 1 species
UGGGGAAUAUUGGACAAUGGGCGAAAGCCUGAUCCAGCCAUGCCGCGUGUGUGAAGAAGGUCUUCGGAUUGUAAAGCACUUUAAGUUGGGAGGAAGGGCAUUAACCUAAUACGUUAGUGUUUUGACGUUACCGACAGAAUAAGCACCGGCUAACUCUGUGCCAGCAGCCGCGGUAAUACAGAGGGUGCAAGCGUUAAUCGGAAUUACUGGGCGUAAAGCGCGCGUAGGUGGUUUGUUAAGUUGGAUGUGAAAUCCCCGGGCUCAAGCUGGGAACUGCAUUCAAAACUGACUGACUAGAGUAUGGUAGAGGGUGGUGGAAUUUCCUGUGUAGCGGUGAAAUGCGUAGAUAUAGGAAGGAACACCAGUGGCGAAGGCGACCACCUGGACUAAUACUGACACUGAGGUGCGAAAGCGUGGGGAGCAAACA